CCUAGCACCGCUCCUCACUCUCUACCAGCGAAGAAACCUCAAGGCUCAAGCCCCACUACCCCAGCCGAACCCCUUCCUCCCAACAGCGUCGUCCUCCACCGUCCACAGCACCGUCGCCGACUCGCGGGCAGCAGCACAGUGGACAACAUCCUCAUGGACGGCACCCACAGCAGCCUUUUGCGUCAUUGCCGACAGCACCCAGCCACCCACAGCACCGUUUUCUCCCUCACAGACAGCACCCAGCACCCACAACACCGUCUCCUCCACGCCGAGUUUAUGGAGCCUCCGAGCCAGGUUGGGGAGAUUAUUAGCAGAUUUGAGAAGAAGAGAUUUUAAUUGAAAAUGUAACUUCUUUUGUUUUUGUUACUACUUAACACACGUGCUAACAAUUUAGCUUAGAAACUCCACAAAUUUUUAGCCUUAUGUCGAAAGGCACUAUGCUGACUUAUCUACAAAGCAUUUCUUUAAUAAAUUGGUCUAAUACAUUAUCUCUGGUUCUAUUGUUGCCAUGGUCUGGGAGGGUAAAGGUAUUGUUGCAACUGGCCAAAAGUUGAUUGGAGCAACAAAUCCCUUAGCAUCUGAGCGUGGAACUAUCCAUGGUUACUUCGCCAUUGCAUUGGAAGAUUGGUUUGCUUAAAGAAGUUUCAUUGUUUUGUUGGAGA